AGUAACACGUGGUCAACCUUCCCUUUUGUGGGGGAUAACUAGCCGAAAGGUUAGCUAAUACCGCAUACGAUCUACGCCGGGCAUCCGAUGUAGAUGAAAGAAGCAAUUCGCAAAAGGAUGGGACCGCGUCCCAUUAGCUAGAUGGUGGGGUAAUGGCCUACCAUGGCUCCGAUGGGUAGCUGGUUUGAGAGAGCGACCAGCCACACUGGGACUGAGAAACGGCCCAG
rnacentral:rRNA from 1 species